GUGUAGCUCAGUGGUAGAGCACUUGCUUAGCAUGCUCAGGGUCCUGGGUUCCAUCCCCAGAACN
rnacentral:tRNA from 1 species